rnacentral:tRNA from 1 species
UGGGGUGUAGCUCAGUGGUAGAGCACUUGCCUAGCAUGUACAAGGCCCUAGAUUCUAUCUCUAGAACCACAA